rnacentral:lncRNA from 1 species
CUCUGGCAUCUAGCUGAAUCCUUCUCCAAAGUGUGUCUUUUCUUCACUAAGGCUUGUGAUGCUGAAAUGUAUGGAAUUUUUUCUUCAGAGUGAGCAGGCCACUGUUCAGCUCUGAAAGGAUUUUGAACCUAAUAACAAUAACUGCUUCAGUCCAGCCGUCAGGAAAAAAAACAAAGGGGAAAAACCCUCUCCACUGGAAAACAAGCAUUUCAUCAAAACUCUCCUCCUGCUUUUACUGCACCAUAAUAACACUGAGUAAGUUUGGGGCCCAUCAAUUGUAAAAUUAUCAUUUUUCAACAAAGCAACAUUAUAUUAAAUGCUUAAUUAUUCAUUACUAAUGCUUGUCAUGGUGAAAGAUUGGUCCCGGCAAUUUUUAAAGCACUGGGUUUUCUU